AUGGGAGAUGAACCUGCUCUGCCUGUGGCCUUUCCAGAGACCGCCCUAGCGUUUCCAUACAACACCCUCUUGUGCCUUCUUUUAUUCCGCCUAGCAGUUAACCGGAUAUCCUCACGGAGCAGAUGUCCCUUGCAUGCUGCGGUGCUGCUCCUCUCCUCCCGAUGUGGUCCUGCACUGAGGGAAGCUCUGCACGCACCUCCCCUCAGCAUCCUGCUUGCCAAAAAGGAGAGCCAGGCAAACCACGACUGUCGUUGGGCAAAACGUGUCUACCCAGAGGCUGCGGGAUGAUAGCGAGGGUCUUUCCAAGGCCCUGAAUUCAGGAGCAGUGCUUUACUUGGUUCGGCGGGAGCAGCUGGGGCUGCAAGCCUUGCAAGAUUCAGGAUGACGCGCUUCAGAGGACCACGUGCAAGGCCAAGGCGACUGAUGCUUUUGCGAGCCUGAAUCUCCCAGUCAGUUGUUUUUGGGAUGUGAAGCCUUGGAAAUCUUUUAUGCUAAAAAUUAUUAGCCAAGUAAUGCCCUUAAAAGUGCUCCUUCAGCAUACCCAUUGCUGGUAAUUCCAAGGCUUGCUGCAGCCUCAGCCC
rnacentral:lncRNA from 1 species